CCUACGGGAGGCAGCAGUGGGGAAUAUUGCACAAUGGGGGAAACCCUGAUGCAGCGACGCCGCGUGAGUGAAGAAGUAUCUCGGUACGUAAAGUUCUAUCAGCAGGGAAGAAAAUGACGGUACUUGACUAAGAAGCCCCGGCUAACUACGUCCCAGCAGCCGCGGUAAUACGUAGGGGGCAACCGUUAUCCGGAUUUACUGGGUGGAAAGGGAGCGUAGACGGCAGCACAAGUCUGGAGUGAAAUCCCGGGGCUUAACCCCGGAGCUGCUUUGGGAACUGUGCGGCUGGAGGGCAGGAGGGGGAAGUGGAAUUCCUAGUGUAGCGGUGGAAUGCGUAGAUAUUAGGAGGAACACCGAUGGCGGAGGCGGCUUACUGGACUGUAACUGACGUUGAGGCUCGAAAGCGUGGGGAGCAAACAGGAUUAGAUACCCCGAGUAGUC
rnacentral:rRNA from 1 species